rnacentral:rRNA from 1 species
AACGCUAGCUACAGGCUUAACACAUGCAAGUCGAGGGGAAACGAUAUUGGAAGCUUGCUUCCGAUAGGCGUCGACCGGCGCACGGGUGAGUAACGCGUAUCCAACCUGCCCACCACUUGGGGAUAACCUUGCGAAAGUAAGACUAAUACCCAAUGAUAUCUCAAGAAGACAUCUGAAUGAGAUUAAAGAUUUAUCGGUGAUGGAUGGGGAUGCGUCUGAUUAGCUUGUUGGCGGGGUAACGGCCCACCAAGGCGACGAUCAGUAGGGGUUCUGAGAGGAAGGUCCCCCACAUUGGAACUGAGACACGGUCCAAACUCCUACGGGAGGCAGCAGUGAGGAAUAUUGGUCAAUGGGCGAGAGCCUGAACCAGCCAAGUAGCGUGCAGGAUGACGGCCCUAUGGGUUGUAAACUGCUUUUAUAAGGGAAUAAAGUGAGCCUCGUGAGGCUUUUUGCAUGUACCUUAUGAAUAAGGACCGGCUAAUUCCGUGCCAGCAGCCGCGGUAAUACGGAAGGUCCGGGCGUUAUCCGGAUUUAUCGGGUUUAAAGGGAGCGUAGGCCGGAGAUUAAGCGUGUUGUGAAAUGUAGAUGCUCAACAUCUGCACUGCAGCGCGAACUGGUUUCCUUGAGUACGCACAAAGUGGGCGGAAUUCGUGGUGUAGCGGUGAAAUGCUUAGAUAUCACGAAGAACUCCGAUUG